GGUGGAAUGGUCGAGAGGUUUAAGACAGCACCUUGGAAAGGUGUAGGCCCCCAAAAGGGGUCCGUAGGUUCGAAUCCUACUUCCACCG
rnacentral:tRNA from 3 species